AACUUUAAACUAUAUAGCACUGAACCCAGUGUGCGAAAGCGAAAGCCAAGACCAUGGCUCUGGGAUGUAUUUGAACGAUGCGAGACAGGCUUGAAGGAUACUUUAAGUUCAGGCGUUGUCUGCACAUUAAGUGUGUAGGCGGUUCAUCGGCUGAGAUGAAUAUCAAGGAUGCAGUGCUACUAAUUGUGAGGAUACAGUACAACAAAGGCGUGCCAUCCACAAUAGAAAGGAUACGUGAAAAGCGGAUCCCGAAUCCUAAAACCUAGUGGCGUCGAAAACCAUGUAGUCAGUAGGAAACUCGAACAAGGUGGCGGAACACAAGAAAACGUAUAUAGAAAUAUGUACGAAACAAACGUCAGAAAGUUGGUACAAGUAGCUAAAGCGUGUUCAGUUUAUUUUUGACGCAGAUCAAAACAAGAUCAAUACACUAAGACUGAUUGGAAAAACUGAAUGGUUAGUGAACGUGGCAAGCAUCAAUCUUGUUGCAGCUAAGGGUUCCUUCGGGAAUUGGCAAUGAUAGUCGGAGAACGUACAACUCCAGGCUCAGAUCAUUGUUCUGUAUGACUCAAUCCGUAGCAAUUGGUGUAGUAAGGGGAAGCCCUCUGUGCUGUAUAGUUUUAAG
rnacentral:ncRNA from 1 species